UGCUAAGCCGAACACUCUUAUCUCCCUACACGUUCCUCACUCCACUUUCCUCACUCUCGCUCUCUCGCUGUCGCUCCUCCUCCCGCCGCCGCCAUCACUCCUCCAGCCGUCACCCCACCUCCUCCCUCCUUCCUCCACUCCUCUCGCCGGCACUCUCUCCUACAUCGUCGCCGCCAUCCUGUCCCUCCCUCCCACGUCGCCUUCGCCCUGUCCCUCCUUCCCACAUCGACUCCGCCCGCUCCCUCCCUCCCACGUCGCCGCCGCCGGAGCAAGAAAUCAAGUAUUUGCCCCUGCCUCGUCAUUUCCUCGUCCCCAUCACCAACCCCCUCUGACCUCGAGCUGAGCCCAGCCAAAUCCCCAUGUUGUUGAUGUCAAUGAUGAUCUCUGGUGAAUGUCGAUGAUGAACAUGCACAGAGGAAACUAUAACCAUGUCAACGAUGAUAAUGUUUUCUGUUUAUAUAGACCUCUGUUUUUCACUAAGUCCUAAAAUCGACAUGAUAAUGUUCUAUUUAUAUUUUGUUUAUGUAUAAAUCAAGUAUUUGCCCCUGCCUCGUCGUUUUCGUCAUCCCCAUCACCGACCCCCUCUGACCUCGAGCUGAGCCCAGCCAAAUCCCCAUGUUGUUGAUGUCAAUGAUGAUCUCUGGUGAAUGUCGAUGAUGAACACGCACAGAGGAAACUGUACCCAUGUCGAGGACUUCAUGUAUUUCUUCUUUCUAUUAAAAUGCAAGGGCUAGUCCCCAUGUUGAUGUCGAUAAUGAACAUGGAGAGCUUGUUUCUUGGUGUUCUUGUUGCAGGGAGACUCCGAGUGACCUAUGUUUUGCCAGAAUGUUGAUUCAUUUCCAUUUCGGCAUAUUUCAAGCGCUCCAUAUGUCCUAUUUUUAGCAAAGGUCAUGACAGAAUUUUUGGCAUGACUUGUGGUAGAAAGUAGGACAUAUCGAGUGCCCUACCCUAGUAGUAACUAGGAGAAAUGAUGAUCUAUAUGAAAGCGAUGCCACGGUAGUGAAAAAUAAUGGUCCAUUUGUUUUGUGUGCAUUCUGCUAUAUGUAAUGUUGAUCGAUGCUUAGGGUUUA